GUUUGGAACCUGGCUCAGGACGAACGCUGGCGGCGUGCUUAAMMCAUGCAAGUCGAACGAUGAACCUGGAGCUUGCUCUAGGGGAUUAGUGGCGAACGGGUGAGUAACACGUGAGUAACCUGCCCUUGACUCUGGGAUAACCUCCGGAAACGGAAGCUAAUACCGGAUAUGACGUACGGAGGCAUCUCCUGUACGUGGAAAGAAUUUCGGUCAAGGAUGGACUCGCGGCCUAUCAGGUAGUUGGUGAGGUAACGGCCCACCAAGCCUACGACGGGUAGCCGGCCUGAGAGGGUGACCGGCCACACUGGGACUGAGACACGGCCCAGACUCCUACGGGAGGCAGCAGUGGGGAAUAUUGCACAAUGGGCGCAAGCCUGAUGCAGCAACGCCGCGUGAGGGACGACGGCCUUCGGGUUGUAAACCUCUUUUAGUAGGGAAGAAGCGAAAGUGACGGUACCUGCAGAAAAAGCACCGGCUAACUACGUGCCAGCAGCCGCGGUAAUACGUAGGGUGCGAGCGUUGUCCGGAAUUAUUGGGCGUAAAGAGCUCGUAGGCGGUCUGUCGCGUCUGCUGUGAAAACCCGAGGCUCAACCUCGGGCCUGCAGUGGGUACGGGCAGACUAGAGUGCGGUAGGGGAGAAUGGAAUUCCUGGUGUAGCGGUGGAAUGCGCAGAUAUCAGGAGGAACACCGAUGGCGAAGGC
rnacentral:rRNA from 1 species